rnacentral:lncRNA from 1 species
GUCAACAAUGGUAUUGGGAAAAAUGACAUCUUCUUUGGGAAGCUGUCCAUAACUUCUCUAAGUCUAACCGUUGUGUGGUAUCAAAGUACUCUGUACUUUUUCUUUCUGCAUUCUACGUGUCAGCAUUUGAAACUCUGCAUUAUGUGAUGGCUCCUUGUUAAGAGAGUAAGUUCCCUGAGGGCAGGAGUGUUGUUGAUGAAGGCAUAUUCAGCUCCUGCACACCAUUGUGCUCAGUAAAUAUUUGCCCCAAAAGUGGAUGAGUAGAGCUACUAGGAAGAUUGAAUUGAGUCACUCUAGUGUGUGAUUCAAAUGACCAAUUUUUCAUUGUAUUGUGACUCCAAAAGAAGACAGUAUUCUGUGUGUUUGUGUGUUUAGGGGGUGUUGCUGUAUGGCCCCAGGGGAGGCCAGAAGGUUUCAGCACUUUUCGUUGCUCUGUCCUUAAUAUAGUGCUCCAUUUACAC